AUUGAACGCUGGCGGCAGGCCUAACACAUGCAAGUCGAACGGUAACGGGAAGAAGCUUGCUUCUUUGCUGACGAGUGGCGGACGGGUGAGUAAUGUCUGGGAAACUGCCUGAUGGAGGGGGAUAACUACUGGAAACGGUAGCUAAUACCGCAUAACGUCGCAAAACCAAAGAGGGGGACCUUCGGGCCUCUUGCCAUCGGAUGUGCCCAGAUGGGAUUAGCUAGUAGGUGGGGUAACGGCUCACCUAGGCGACGAUCCCUAGCUGGUCUGAGAGGAUGACCAGCCACACUGGAACUGAGACACGGUCCAGACUCCUACGGGAGGCAGCAGUGGGGAAUAUUGCACAAUGGGCGCAAGCCUGAUGCAGCCAUGCCGCGUGUAUGAAGAAGGCCUUCGGGUUGUAAAGUACUUUCAGCGGGGAGGAAGGGAGUAAAGUUAAUACCUUUGCUCAUUGACGUUACCCGCAGAAGAAGCACCGGCUAACUCCGUG
rnacentral:rRNA from 1 species